UGGGGAAUAUUGCACAAUGGGCGAAAGCCUGAUGCAGCAACGCCGCGUGAACGAAGAAGGCUCUUGGGUCGUAAAGUUCUGUUCUGAGGGAAGAAGAAAGUGACGGUACCUCAGGAGAAAGCCCCGGCUAACUACGUGCCAGCAGCCGCGGUAAUACGUAGGGGGCAAGCGUUGUCCGGAAUUAUUGGGCGUAAAGAGUACGUAGGCGGUCUGUUAAGCGCAAGGUGAAAGGCAUAGGCUCAACCAAUGUGAGCCUUGCGAACUGGCAGACUUGAGUGCAGGAGAGGAAAGCGGAAUUCCUAG
rnacentral:rRNA from 1 species